rnacentral:rRNA from 1 species
GAUGAACGCUGGCGGCGUGCCUAAUACAUGCAAGUCGAGCGAACGGACGAGAAGCUUGCUUCUCUGAUGUUAGCGGCGGACGGGUGAGUAACACGUGGAUAACCUACCUAUAAGACUGGGAUAACUUCGGGAAACCGGAGCUAAUACCGGAUGAUAUUUUGAACCGCAUGGUUCAAAAGUGAAAGACGGUCUUGCUGUCACUUAUAGAUGGAUCCGCGCUGCAUUAGCUAGUUGGUAAGGUAACGGCUUACCAAGGCAACGAUGCAUAGCCGACCUGAGAGGGUGAUCGGCCACAGUGGAACUGAGACACGGUCCAGACUUCUACGGGAGGCAGCAGUAGGGAAUCUUCCGAAAUGGGCGAAAGCCUGACGGAGCAACGCCGCGUGAGUGAUGAAGGUCUUCGGAUCGUAAAACUCUGUUAUUAGGGAAGAACAUAUGUGUAAGUAACUGUGCACAUCGUGACGGUACCUAAUCAGAAAGCCACGGCUAACUACG